GGCAGCAGCCGCGGUAACACCGGCGGCCCGAGUGGUGAUCGUGAUUAUUGGGUCUAAAGGGUCCGUAGCCGGUUGGUCAGUCCUCCGGGAAAUCUGAUAGCUCAACUAUUAGGCUUUCGGGGGAUACUGCCAGACUUGGAACCGGGAGAGGUAAGAGGUACUACAGGGGUAGGAGUGAAAUCUUGUAAUCCCUGUGGGACCACCUGUGGCGAAGGCGUCUUACCAGAACGGGUUCGACGGUGAGGACGAAAGCUGGGGGCACGAACCGGAUUAGAUACCCGGGUAGUCCCAGCCGUAAACGAUGCUCGCUAGGUGUCAGGCAUGGCGCGACCGUGUCUGGUGCCGCAGGGAAGCCGUGAAGCGAGCCACCUGGGAAGUACGGCCGCAAGGCUGAAACUUAAAGGAAUUGGCGGGGGAGCACAACAACGGGUGGAGCCCUGCGGUUUAAUUGGACUCAACGCCGGACAACUCACCGGGGGCGACAGCAAUAUGUAGGCCAAGCUGAAGACUUUGCCUGAAUCGCUGAGAAGAGGUGCAUGG
rnacentral:rRNA from 1 species